rnacentral:rRNA from 1 species
AGAUUGAACGCUGGCGGCAGGCCUAACACAUGCAAGUCGAGCGGUAGAGAGGUGCUUGCAUCUCUUGAGAGCGGCGGACGGGUGAGUAAUGCCUAGGAAUCUGCCUAGUGGUGGGGGAUAACGUUCGGAAACGGACGCUAAUACCGCAUACGUCCUACGGGAGAAAGCGGGGGACCUUCGGGCCUCGCGCCAUUAGAUGAGCCUAGGUCGGAUUAGCUAGUUGGUGAGGUAAUGGCUCACCAAGGCGACGAUCCGUAACUGGUCUGAGAGGAUGAUCAGUCACACUGGAACUGAGACACGGUCCAGACUCCUACGGAGGCAGCAGUGGGGAAUAUGGACAAUGGGCGAAAGCCUGAUCCAGCCAUGCCGCGUGUGUGAAGAAGGUCUUCGGAUUGUAAAAGC